AACGAACGCUGGCGGCAUGCCUAACACAUGCAAGUCGAACGAGACCUUCGGGUCUAGUGGCGCACGGGUGCGUAACGCGUGGGAAUCUGCCCUUGGGUUCGGAAUAACAGUUGGAAACGACUGCUAAUACCGGAUGAUGACGUAAGUCCAAAGAUUUAUCGCCCAAGGAUGAGCCCGCGUAGGAUUAGCUAGUUGGUGAGGUAAGGGCUCACCAAGGCGACGACCCUUAGCUGGUCUGAGAGGAUGAUCAGCCACACUGGGACUGAGACACGGCCCAGACUCCUACGGGAGGCAGCAGUGGGGAAUAUUGGACAAUGGGCGAAAGCCUGAUCCAGCAAUGCCGCGUGAGUGAUGAAGGCCUUAGGGUUGUAAAGCUCUUUUACCCGGGAUGAUAAUGACAGUACCGGGAGAAUAAGCGCCGGCUAACUCCGUG
rnacentral:rRNA from 1 species